rnacentral:lncRNA from 1 species
CCAUACCCAACUAUAUUCUAGGAUGUCUAAGAGAUUCUCUGGAUCUACCUACUAGAUGACUAGAGCCCCUGAAGAGAGCCCAGGAGAGGAUAUUUGUGAAGGUGCAGCCCAGGUGAAGCAAGAAACUCCAAGAUAUUUGGAGACACCUGUAUCAUGGAUGACCACAAGCAAGGAUACCAAGAACAGCAGCAGAGGUGAAGUGGAGCAAUCUGGAGCCUAGAAGACAAGCUGUGUGUGAUGGGAGUAGCUGUUUGAAUUCCUGCCUCGACUUCCCUGAAGUGAUGGGCUGUCAUCUGGAAUUUUAAGCCAAACAAGCCCUUCCUCCCCAAAGUUGCCUCUGGCCCUGAUGUUUCAUUAGAGCCAACAGCCUUGAAGGAAGGCCGUGCCUUGUCUGCCUCCCCCAUAGCUCCUUGGGAUUAGUGCUGUCCACAGGGAACGUGUGCAUGGCUCUGAAUCACCUCACCCCACUUGGUCAAGCUGAUGUGAAGACAGCAGCCUCUGGCAGAGAACACUCAGCUUUCUAGAAAUUACUGGAGUUGGCACAGCUUCAAGGCAUUGGU